AAUUCCCACUCUGGUAAAGUUUAGCGAACAGCCAGUACUUAGCCUUGGAGCCGAAGCCGCGAGGUUAGGUUUAAGCGUAGGCAAAGGAGCAUAAGAGCCGCAAUGCGAAAGCGUGAAGCUAAUCAGCCCCGUAAGUUAUAGAGAGUGGAAGUCGAUGUAUUCUCUUAUACCGCAGACAGCAAUUAGCAUUCGUUAUCGCAAGAAUGUUAAGGUUCCACCGGGGUCCAAGGG
rnacentral:ncRNA from 1 species